rnacentral:rRNA from 1 species
UGGGGAAUAUUGCACAAUGGGGAAAGGACCCUGAUGCAGCGACGCCGCGUGGAGGAAGAAGGCCUUCGGGUUGUAAACUCCUGUCGUAAGGGACGAUAGUGACGGUACCUUACAAGAAAGCCACGGCUAACUACGUGCCAGCAGCCGCGGUAAAACGUAGGUGGCAAGCGUUGUCCGGAAUUACUGGGUGUAAAGGGAGCGCAGGCGGGUCUGCAAGUUGGAAGUGAAACCCAUGGGCUCAACCCAUGAACUGCUUUCAAACUGCGGAUCUUGAGUGGUGUAGAGGUAGGCGGAAUUCCCGGUGUAGCGGUGGAAUGCGUAGAUAUCGGGAGGAACACCAGUGGCGAAGGCGGCCUACUGGGCACUAACUGACGCUGAGGCUCGAAAGCAUGGGUAGCAAACAGGAUUAGAUACCC